UCCGGGCCUUUAUUUACAGUCUCUGCCCUGCCCCCACUGAGGCGGGGGGGGGGGAGGAGCAAUUAAAUAUGUAUAUACAGGGGUGGGGCUUAUGUACAGCAGGGGCGGGGCCUCACGGAGGGGGCGGGGCUAGCAGGCCCCAGGGCAUUGUGCGAUUUUUGGGGGGAGGGGGGGCCGCGAGCUCCUCCCCGUCGCCAAGUGCAUGCUGGGAAGGUGGGGGAGGGGGGCGGAAGCGGGUCCCAGGCGCCGAACCGGGAUUGGAGGUUGGGGGUGGGUCCAAGAUGGCCGCCGCGGCGGGGGAGCGUCUGUCCAAGAUGGCCGCCGCGCCGCGGCUGGUUCCGCCCAAGAUGGCCGCCACGCCGGGGGCUCGGCCCACCAAGAUGGCCGCCACCAUGGAGGCAGCCAUGUCAAGAUGGCCGCUGUCACGGAGGCAGCCAUGUCAAGAUGGCCGCCGUCAUGGAGGCAGCCAUGCCAAGAUGGCUGCUGCCACAGGGGGCGGCCAUGCCAAGAUGGCCGCCACGCCGAGGAGCGCGGCGGCAUGACGGGUGCCAGAGGCAUGUCGAAGCGUGUCGCAGGCGUGUCGAGGCGUCACACGUGCGCUGGGGCGUGUUGGAGCGUGUUGAGGUGUCCUGGAGCGUGUUGGAGCGUGUUCAGGUGUCUCAAAGCAUGUUGGAGCGUGUUCAGGUGUCCUGGAGCGUGUUGGAGCGUGUUCAGGUGUCUCAAAGCAUGUUGGAGCGUGUUCAGGUGUCCUGGAGCAUGUUGGAGCAUGUUGGAGUGCGUUGAGGUGUCUCAAAGCAUGUUGGGGGCGUGUUGGAGCAUGUUCAGGUGUCUUGAAGCAUGUUGGAGCAUGUUGGAGUGUGUUCAGGUGUCCUGGAGUGUGUUGGAGUGUGUUGGAGCGUGUUGAGGUGUCUCAAAGCAUGUUGGAGUGUGUUCAGGUGUCCUGGAGCGUGUUGGAGCAUGUUCAGAUGUCUUGGAGCAUGUUGAAGUGUGUUGAGGUGUCCUGGGGCAUGUUGGAGCGUGUUG
rnacentral:lncRNA from 1 species